rnacentral:rRNA from 1 species
GACGAACGCUGGCGGCGUGCUUAACACAUGCAAGUCGAACGGAAAGGCCCUGCUUUUGUGGGGUGCUCGAGUGGCGAACGGGUGAGUAACACGUGAGUAACCUGCCCUUGACUUUGGGAUAACUUCAGGAAACUGGGGCUAAUACCGGAUAGGAGCUCCUGCUGCAUGGUGGGGGUUGGAAAGUUUCGGCGGUUGGGGAUGGACUCGCGGCUUAUCAGCUUGUUGGUGGGGUAGUGGCUUACCUAGGCUUUGACGGGUAGCCGGCCUGAGAGGGUGACCGGCCACAUUGGGACUGAGAGACGGCCCAGACUCCUACGGGAGGCAGCAGUGGGGAAUAUUGCACAAUGGGCGGAAGCCUGAUGCAGCAACGCCGCGUGCGGGAUGACGGCCUUCGGGUUGUAAACCGCUUUCGCCUGUGACGAAGCGUGAGUGACGGUAAUGGGUAAAGAAGCACCGGCUAACUACGUG